rnacentral:lncRNA from 1 species
GCCAAGGGAUCAUGAGGUGAAAUCACAACACAUUUAAAGAUCUUUGUCUUGCCUGCAAUUUUUGGAGCUCAGGAACUGUAUUUUAUGAGCUAGGAUUUGGGUCCCCAGAUCAGGAGGAGAGAUCAGAUCACAGUGAAGAAGGUCAGGGGGACAUGGAGGCUGGGAUUAGUGUUUUGUAUUUUUGAGUCAGAGUCUGACUUUGUAGCUUUCCCUGGCCUUGAACUCCGAGAUCCUUCUGCCCCCUGCUUCCCAGGUGCUGGGAUUAAGCCAGGCUUGGUGUCUGACAGAUUUUUGCAUGUGAGAAUGGCAGCAGAAAAUUGACACUGGGGUUCUCAAUUCUCUAUUUUUGAAUUUUAAAAAUCUGUGCCUCUUACCAUCCAGAACCAUCUAACUUCCCCAGACUGGGUCUCUCAGCUUGUAGCUUACUGCUUUAUCUGGGCUGGCAGGAAGGGAGGUCUCAGACAUGCAGCCUCCGGGCAAGGAAGUUCAGGCUCUCACGCGUGUUUGCCAAGCUGGUUACUCAACUGUCUUUCUCCUUCCAUCUUUUUUAUUCUUAAACCAAUAAGGGGUUUUAAGUGGCCCAGGAUGUCCUGAACCUUGCUAUGUAGCUGGGGUGACAGUUAUGAAGUGCUGGAGAUGGACCAAGAGCCUUGUACACCCUAAAGGAGCUCCAUCCCUAGCCGUUUCUGAUCUUGACAACUUUCCUGAGUUUAUCUUACUGUGUGAAUAGGUCAGAGCUUGCGCUCAGGUAUGAUGGUGUGGUGGUUUGAAUAUGGUUGGCCCAAGGAGUGGCACUAUUAGGAAGUGUGGCCUUGUUGGAGAGUGUCACUGGAGGGGUGGGCUUUGAGAGACCCUCCACCUAGCUGCCUGGAAAUCAGUCUUCUCCAAGCUGACUUCUGAUCAAGAUGUAGAACUCUUAGCUCCUUCUCGGGCACCACAACUGCCUGGAUGCUGUCAUUCGACCUUGAUGAUAAUGGACUGAACCUCUGAACCUGUAAGCCAGCUCCAAUUAAAUGUUGUCCUUAUAAGAG